AGGCCAUGAUAUGGACAGACUCUUAAUAGCUCUUGGUAUCUCUCCCAAGCUUCAAAGAGUGAUUUUCCUUGGUUUUGAGUAAAUCUAGUUAUUUAGUUUCGAAGAAC